CGUGAGUGAUGAAGGCUUUCGGGUCGUAAAGCUCUGUCAAGUGGGAAGAAACCAUAUGGUGUUAAUAUUACCUUAUGUUGACGGUACCACUGAAGGAAGCACCGGCUAACUCCGUGCCAGCAGCCGCGGUAAUACGGGGGGUGCGAGCGUUAUUCGGAAUUACUGGGCGUAAAGAGCGCGUAGGCGGUCUUUUAAGUCAGGUGUGAAAGCCCGGGGCUCAACCCCGGAAGUGCACUUGAAACUAUGAGACUUGAGUAUGGGAGAGGGAAGUGGAAUUCCUGGUGUAGCGGUGAAAUGCGUAGAUAUCAGGAGGAACAUCGGUGGCGAAGGCGACUUCCUGGACCGAUACUGACGCUGAGGCGCGAAGGCGUGGGGAGCAAACAGGAUUAGAUACCCUGGUAGUCCACGCAGUAAACGGUGAACACUAGGUGUAGCGGGUAUUGACCCCUGCUGUGCCGCAGCAAACGCAUUAA
rnacentral:rRNA from 1 species